rnacentral:rRNA from 1 species
CCUACGGGUGGCUGCAGUGGGGGAUAUUGCACAAUGGGGGAAACCCUGAUGCAGCGAUGCCGCGUGAAUGAAGACGGCCUUCGGGUUGUAAAGUUCUGUCGCAGGGGACGAAAAUGACGGUACCCUGCAAGAAAGCUCCGGCUAACUACGUGCCAGCAGCCGCGGUAAUACGUAGGGAGCAAGCGUUGUCCGGAAUUACUGGGUGUAAAGGGAGCGUAGGCGGGAGGAUAAGUUGAAUGUGAAAUCUAUGGGCUCAACCCAUAGCUGCGUUCAAAACUGUUCUUCUUGAGUGAAGUAGAGGCAGGCGGAAUUCCUAGUGUAGCGGUGAAAUGCUUAGAGAUCAUACAGAACACCGAUUGCGAAGGCAGCUUACCAAGCUACUUCUGACGUUGAGGCACGAAAGCGUGGGGAGCAAACAGGAUUAGAUACCCCUGUAGUC